GGUUUUGCUGUGUAGUUCAGGCUGGCCUUGAGCUCACUCUGUAGGCCAGGCUGGUCUCGAACUUGCAACAAUCCUUCUGCCUCAGCCUCCCGAGUGCUGGAAUUACAGGCAUGCACCAGCAUGCCUG
ensembl:miRNA